GCACCUCGCAUUAUUUAUAAGCUCUAGUUGGUGUUAUUCGUAGCCACCCCAUGGCCCUCAUUUCUUAAUUACCCCUUAUAUGGGCUCCGUCGAUGGGUCAAUCGAUCGAUCUCCAGUCGGAAGGAGACCACGCCGCAUAGAGCCAGGGGUCGGCACAGGGCUUCUCCUUCCCCGAGCCUUUCUUUCCCACUCUUAUAGGAGCCCUUUUGACUUGUGUCUUUCCAACGCAGGGUAGCCUCCAUUGCUCCUGGUCAUGAGGUGUGCUCAUCUAUUGGGUAAUGGUGGCUGGGCCCAAGGGACCCUCUCCUCUCGGAUUCUCGGAAGGACCAUGGUGCUCUUCGUGCGACACUAGACGUGACUGAGGCUAAAGCAGGUCUCCUUCGGAACCAACUCACUAAAUCAUACUAUCCCUUGGUUGCUCUUGAAAACGAGCUAGAGAAGUUGUGCCAUCAGGCGGGUCAGGUUGCGGAGUACGUCGGGGCCCGUGGUUCUUCCAUGGUGGAGCGCCUGAACAAUAUCCCAUGUCGUGUUCGGGAUAUUAUCGACUUCGGUGUACACCGAGGGGCUGCCGUAGCGCUACUCGUCGGGGAGCUUCGGUCGGGCUCCACUCUUUAGGACAUCCUCGGACCUCCCUUGUCUUUGUAAGACGAGGGACUAGAGGUAAUCCUAGAGGGCUAUGACAAAGUAGCCAGCCGCGUCGUGGACCGGUUGUCUAGAGACGACAUCGUGUGCAGCGCCAGUUGACCCUGUGAUGUAUCACAUUCUAUCGCUACUGAAUAAAAAACAAUUUUUAUUUUUCU